rnacentral:lncRNA from 1 species
GUUUGCCUAAACUACCCAUUUAUUUGUACUUUACUCCCAGGUCUAUUACUACACAUUGAGUGUUAACAAUAAUUCUUCUUUGGCCAUGUAUAUCCAUAUACUUGUGAUCAUCAAUGGCUGAACAUCACUUCUUUAUCUAAUAAGUGUUAAAAAAGUUGGUUUAAUUAAAAAACAAAGCCAUUUUUAAAGUUGACCUCCCUAUGUAGAAAUUUUGCCUGAAC